rnacentral:rRNA from 1 species
UACGGGGGGGGCGAGCGUUGUUCGGAAUCAUUGGGCGUAAAGAGCGUGUAGGCGGCUCGAUAAGUCUGCUGUGAAAGUCCAGGGCUCAACCCUGGAAGGCCGGUGGAAACUGUCGGGCUAGAGUCCGGAAGAGGCGAGUGGAAUUCCCGGUGUAGCGGUGAAAUGCGCAGAUAUCGGGAGGAACACCAAUGGCGAAGGCAGCUCGCUGGGACGGUACUGACGCUGAGACGCGAAAGCGUGGGGAGCAAACAGG